rnacentral:rRNA from 1 species
AACAACGCUGGCGGCGUGCCUAACACAUGCAAGUCGUACGAGAAAGUCGGCUUCGGCCGAUGAGUACAGUGGCGCACGGGUGAGUAGCGCGUGGGUAAUCUGCCCCCCGGUCAGGAAUAACCCGCCGAAAGGCGGGCUAAUACCCGAUAACACUGACGCUCCGCGGAGCGUCUUUCAAAGGAGGCCUCUGUUUACAAGCUUUCGCCGGAGGAUGAGCCCGCGUACCAUUAGCUAGUUGGCAGGGUAAUGGCCUACCAAGGCUGCGAUGGUUAGCUGGUCUGAGAGGAUGGCCAGCCACACUGGAACUGAGACACGGUCCAGACUCCUACGGGAGGCAGCAGUGAGGAAUCUUGCGCAAUGGGGGAAACCCUGACGCAGCAACGCCGCGUGAGUGAGGAAGGUUUUCGGACCGUAAAGCUCUGUCGAGCGGGAAGAAAUGUAUCAUGGCUAAUAUCCAUGAUACUUGACGGUACCGCUAAAGGAAGCACCGGCUAACUCCGUG